GUCAUGGUUUCAGCAUAAAAGGUGAGUGUUACAAAAGAGAGAAAACAGAUAAGAGGAAUGCAACAUUUACAUAUCGGUAGGCUUGAACAAUAUUGUGUGGCAUACAUGUGGGGUUUACUAGCCAUCGGCCAUGAGCUUAGGGAAUUUUAUUUUGGGUAGUGGGAGUCGGUGUUGCCGUUAAGCCUAGGGGGUCUAGAGGUCUGGCCAUAUAGCUGGUGCGGCUGGCAUUGCUAGGGGCUGUUAGGCUGAUGUCUAACUGGUUUAACAAGUUGAUAUGGUUCCGUUGUCGUGCUAGGGAGCCAUAUCUGGUGGUGAGCUGCAUGCUCCCUCUAUAAAAGUGUACCCCUUUACCACGGGGGGAGGGGGCAGGUGAAUUUGUGAGUAGACACAGUGGGUAAAAUAAAGAAGAGUCCCGGUUACUGAUAAUGGUAUGUCCGUGGAGCCUUGGGGCUAUGAAGAGUUAUGCAUUAGGCUUUCACCCUUUUGUCCAGUUCACCGACAAACCAGCCCAGUGGAG